UACGUAGGGGGCGAGCGUUGUCCGGAAUUACUGGGCGUAAAGGGUUCGCAGGCGGCAUGGCAAGUCUGAUGUAAAAGGCGAAAGCUCAACUUUCGUAAGCAUCGGAAACUGUCAAGCUUGAGUGAAGGAGAGGCAAGUGGAAUUCCUAGUGUAGCGGUGGAAUGCGUAGAUAUUAGGAGGAAUACCGGUGGCGAAGGCGACUUGCUGGACUUCAACUGACGCUGAGGAACGAAAGCGUGGGUAGCAAACAGG
rnacentral:rRNA from 1 species